CCGUACAGAUAGCACCCGUAGUCGGGAUUGAACCAGGGUCUCUGGCGCUGCAGGCGCUGUAAGGCAGCAACUCUACUGCUGCGCCACCAUGCCGAGCAAACAGGAAAGAGAAUGACACUGUUGGAUCUCUGAAAUACAUAACGCCAUAGUUGACGUAAAAGAGAAAGUUGGAAAGCCCCUGCAGGUCAGGUCACAUCUGUCUGCUACUGUCAUAUCCACACUUCUGUUUGAUGCCAGAUUUAGGCACAGUGGUGCAGCAGUAGAGUUGCUGCCUUAGAUCACCAGAGACCCGGGUUCGAUCCUUACUACUGGUGCUGUCUACAUGGAGUUUGUACGUUCUCCCCGUGACCGCAUGGGUUUUCCCUGGACGCUUCAGUUUUCUCCCACACUCCAAAAACAUACAGGUUUGUAGUUUAAUUGGCCUGGUAACAUUGCAAAUUUUCCCUAGGGUGUGUAGCACAGUGCUAGGAUAUGGGGAACGCUGGUUGGCGCAGACUUGGAGGGCCGAGGGGCCUGUUUCCUGUUAUCUCUAAACUAAAGUAAACUCAAUUUUAGCCUGUUCUGAUUUCUAUCAGUGUAUAAUGUUCACACAAUUAUACAACACAAUGUGAAUGCUACACAAUGAUUUUAAAUUAAGUUGGGGAACAAUUCAAAACAUUGUAAAGCCUAAAUGUUCAUGGAAUUAAAGAGUAUUGAAACUGGUCCACAGUAAUGUUUGCACUCUUCAUGAACAAUCUCUACCAUCCAUUUAUCUUCCUAUUUAUUUCUCCUUUGGCAUGGAUUCAUUAAGGGGAAACAAUAUAUUUGCUUCAGUCUUUCACACAGAGGGUGAUGGGUGUAUUGAACACGUUGCCACAGGAGGUAGUUGAGGCUGGUACUAUAACAACAUUUAAAAGACAUUUGGAAAGGUACAUGGAUAGGAAAUGUUUAGAGGUAUCUGGGCCAAAUGCAGGAAGAUUGGACUAGUGUAGAUGGGUCACAUUAGUCAGCAUGAGCUGAAGGUCUGAAGGUCCUGUUUCCAUGUAGUAUGACUCUAUGAUUCUCGAUGUCUUAUGCAAUUCCACAUAUCCGCCAGCCUGACCUUGAAGAAGCUUCUUAUAAAUCUCUUAUUGGAAAUAUAAUAGCCCUGCCGCCUUUCUGAUAGCUUGAGGCAGUUCUGAUAUCACAGACAAAUAUGUUCAAGGAGGAACUGCAGAUGCUGG